AUGAACGCUAGCGACAGGCUUAACACAUGCAAGUCGAGGGGCAGCGGGGGUAGCAAUACCCGCCGGCGACCGGCGCACGGGUGAGUAACGCGUAUGCAACUUACCUAUCAGAGGGGGAUAACCCGGCGAAAGUCGGACUAAUACCGCAUGAAGCAGGGGCCCCGCAUGGGGAUAUUUGCUAAAGAUUCAUCGCUGAUAGAUAGGCAUGCGUUCCAUUAGGCAGUUGGCGGGGUAACGGCCCACCAAACCGACGAUGGAUAGGGGUUCUGAGAGGAAGGUCCCCCACAUUGGUACUGAGACACGGACCAAACUCCUACGGGAGGCAGCAGUGAGGAAUAUUGGUCAAUGGGCGCGAGCCUGAACCAGCCAAGUCGCGUGAGGGAUGAAGGUUCUAUGGAUCGUAAACCUCUUUUAUAAGGGAAUAAAGUGUGGGACGUGUCCCGUUUUGUAUGUACCUUAUGAAUAAGGAUCGGCUAACUCCGUGCCAGCAGCCGCGGUAAUACGGAGGAUCCGAGCGUUAUCCGGAUUUAUUGGGUUUAAAGGGUGCGUAGGCGGCCUUUUAAGUCAGCGGUGAAAGUCUGUGGCUCAACCAUAGAAUUGCCGUUGAAACUGGGGGGCUUGAGUAUGUUUGAGGCAGGCGGAAUGCGUGGUGUAGCGGUGAAAUGCUUAGAUAUCACGCAGAACCCCGAUUGUGAAGGCAGCCUGCCAAGCCAUGACUGACGCUGAUGCACGAAAGCGUGGGGAUCAAACAGGAUUAGAUACCCUGGUAGUCCACGCAGUAAACGAUGAUCACUAGCUGUUUGCGAUACACUGUAAGCGGCACAGCGAAAGCGUUAAGUGAUCCACCUGGGGAGUACGCCGGCAACGGUGAAACUCAAAGGAAUUGACGGGGGCCCGCACAAGCGGAGGAACAUGUGGUUUAAUUCGAUGAUACGCGAGGAACCUUACCCGGGUUUGAACGCAUUUCGACCGCUCUGGAAACAGAGCCUCUAGCAAUAGCGAUUUGCGAGGUGCUGCAUGGUUGUCGUCAGCUCGUGCCGUGAGGUGUCGGCUUAAGUGCCAUAACGAGCGCAACCCUUGCCACUAGUUACUAACAGGUAAAGCUGAGGACUCUGGUGGGACUGCCAGCGUAAGCUGCGAGGAAGGCGGGGAUGACGUCAAAUCAGCACGGCCCUUACAUCCGGGGCGACACACGUGUUACAAUGGCGUGGACAAAGGGAAGCCACCUGGCGACAGGGAGCGAAUCCCCAAACCACGUCUCAGUUCGGAUCGGAGUCUGCAACCCGACUCCGUGAAGCUGGAUUCGCUAGUAAUCGCGCAUCAGCCAUGGCGCGGUGAAUACGUUCCCGGGCCUUGUACACACCGCCCGUCAAGCCAUGGGAGCCGGGGGUACCUGAAGUCCGUAACCGAAAGGAUCGGCCUAGGGUAAAACUGGUGACUGGGGCU
rnacentral:rRNA from 1 species